rnacentral:rRNA from 1 species
AUUGAACGCUGGCGGCAUGGUUAAAGCAUGCAAGUCGAACGAGAACCCGCCUUCGGGCGGGGGACAGUGGCGAAAGGGCGAGUAAUGCGCUUCUAUGUGCCCAAAGGUGAGGGAUAGGUCGGGGAAACUCGGCGUAAUACCUCAUGUGCUCUACGGAGGAAAGACUUCGGUCGCCUUUGGAGCAGGGAGCGUCCUAUCAGGUUGUUGGUGAGGUAAAGGCUCACCAAGCCAAAGACGGGUAGCGGGUGUGAGAGCAUGGCCCGCCGCAUCGGGACUGAGACACUGCCCGGACUCCUACGGGUGGCUG